AACAGGCUUAUCUCCUCUGAGCGUUCAUAGCGGCGAGGAGGUUUGGCACCUCGAUGUCGGCUCAUCACAUCCUGGGGCUGAAGCAGGUCCCAAGGGUUUGGCUGUUCGCCAAUUAAAGCGGUACGCGAGCUGGGUUCAGACCGGCGUGAGCCAGGUCGGUCCCUAUCUGCUGUGGGUGUGGGAACUUUGACGGCGAU
rnacentral:rRNA from 1 species